rnacentral:tRNA from 1 species
ACUAAUAUAAUUUAAUAAGAAUAUUAAUUUGUGGGAUUAAUAGUGUAAAAUUUUACUGUUAGUA